GGGGGGGGAUGUGGGUCACAAGGGGUGGACAGCUAGGCAGGGCUGGCAAAAAAGUGGAGGUGGUGCUCUUUCUUCUUUUUUUUUUCCUAUUUUUUCUUUUUUCGGGGAGAUUCACCGCAUGAGAUUGGAGCAGGGAAGAAAACUCAGGUCUAGAGGGCAGUUGUGGGUAAUGCUUAUUUAGGGAGAGUGGUGCAGUACCAUUUAUCCAAGGCAAAGACAUCUUUUAAAGUUGGAUAUAAUGGAAUUAGCGAUCAAACUGUAUUACAUUGGUUGAAUGAGAGAGGGGGAAAUUCAUGCACUAGAAACUUUUAAGGACACGGUGUUAUAAUGAAGUAUAACCGAAAGAAAGAGAUUGGGGGGGGGGGGGGUGAUUUAGAAUGUAAUUUGAAACUGAAAAAAAAAAGAUAACACAGUUGAGAGUGAAAAGAAAAGAGAAACAAAGACAGAAAAAAUACAAUAGAGGCAUCUGCAGGAUAAAACAAUUUGCUUCUUCCUCUAAUAUGCACAAUGAACCUACAACAUCUUACAUAAUUAGAAACUAUAGGCUGGUCUUACUUUCAUAGUUCCCAAUUUUUUUAAUUUUAUAAAUCCAAGUCAAACAUGACUCCAGCAACACUUCAUUUUCGUAAGAGGUACACAGAUGCGUUUAUCCAAAUCAUUGGAUUUUGGUGGGGGCUUUUUUUUCGUGUGUGUUUUUUAGGGGGGGGGGGAAUAGAAGUCCAUGUUAUGCUUACCAUCUCUAAGAUGUGCCUGCUGUUCCAUAGCCUGUAAACGCAGCUUGAGUUCCUUGUUCUCAGCAGUUAACCCCGUUGUGUCUCUCUGCAGAACAAAAAAUUACAUCAACACUA
rnacentral:lncRNA from 1 species